CAGGACGAACGCUGGCGGCGUGCUUAACACAUGCAAGUCGAACGAGGUCCAAGUGAUGGCAACAUCACGGAAGACCUAGUGGCGAACGGGUGCGUAACACGUGAGGAACCUGCCCCGAUCUCUGGGAUAACAGUUGGAAACGACUGCUAAUACCGGAUACCGCUUCUGCAUCGCAUGGUGCGGAAACGAAAGAUUUAUCGGAUCGGGAGGGUCUCGCGGCCUAUCAGCUAGUUGGUGGGGUAAAGGCCUACCAAGGCAUCGACGGGUAGCUGGUCUGAGAGGAUGAUCAGCCACACUGGGACUGAGACACGGCCCAGACUCCUACGGGAGGCAGCAGUGGGGAAUCUUGCGCAAUGGGCGAAAGCCUGACGCAGCAACGCCGCGUGGGGGAAGAAGGCUCUCGGGUUGUAAACCCCUUUCAGUAGGAACGAAAAUGACGGUACCUGCAGAAGAAGGUGCGGCCAACUACGUGCCAGCAGCCGCGGUGACACGUAGGCACCAAGCGUUGUCCGGAUUUAUUGGGCGUAAAGAGCUCGUAGGCGGUUCGGUAAGUCGGGUGUGAAAACUCUGGGCUCAACCCAGAGACGCCACUCGAUACUGCUGUGACUAGAGUUCGGUAGGGGAGCGGGGAAUUCCUGGUGUAGCGGUGAAAUGCGCAGAUAUCAGGAGGAACACCGGUGGCGAAGGCGCCGCUCUGGGCCGAAACUGACGCUGAGGAGCGAAAGCGUGGGUAGCAAACAGGAUUAGAUACCCUGGUAGUCCACGCCGUAAACGUUGGGCACUAGGUGUGGGCUCUAACCAACGGAGUCCGUGCCGUCGCUAACGCAUUAAGUGCCCCGCCUGGGGAGUACGGCCGCAAGGUUAAAACUCAAAU
rnacentral:rRNA from 1 species